rnacentral:rRNA from 1 species
UGACCUCGGAUCAGGUAGGGAUACCCGCUGAACUUAAGCAUAUCAAUAAGA